UCCAUUGAUUAUAAUAAAUUAAUCAGAAUCAUUUGAAAUCAGAGUUGAAUACACCCCCCUUGGACUUGGUCUCUCCUUUUGGAGAAAACUAAAGAAAUAGUCAGACACCAUCAUCUUCUCCAUAGUCUUUAUCCUCUAGCUCCCUGUGGCACCACCAACGUCACCAUCACUUUUGCCGUCCGGCGUGAAUCAGCUCGAGUCAACGACACCAUCAUCUUUUUCUUCUUCUCUAUAUCCUUGCAUGUGGCUCGAUCUAUCAGAUUGGAGGUGAAACAAUUCAACCCAAACCGGAGGACCCUCGCCUGAAUCUCCGGUCAAUUUUCAGGUUCUCUCUGGGUGAGCCUUGCCUACUUUGAGUUCGUAGCUACCCUUAGUUUCACAGAUAUUAGAACCUUACCUCACUUUCCUCUUCUCUGUGUCAACACCGCCAUGUUGCGCCGUUGGUGUCUCUUUCAGACGUUUAUUUGGGACCUCGAUAAGCUUUGAAUCCUCUAUUGGUAAGCUUUUGAAUCCUUUCAGAAGUUUAAUUUGUAGAUCGGCUUGAUUUUGAGUUUAUGGAGGUGGAGAGGGUGGAUGCGAUGGUGGCUUAAGUGGCGGAGAAGAGGAUGGUACGAUUUUGGUGAUUGAUAUUGGCCCGUCGAUGCAUAAAGCUCUUCCGGAGAUAGAGAAGCUUUGCUCUGUGUUGCUGGUGAAGAAGCUCUUUUACAGUAAAAGCGAUGAAGUGAGAGUUGUUUUGUUUGGAACAUAAGGCACAAAAAAUGCAUUAACAACGGAUGUGAGUGGAUAUGAUCAUAUAACGGUUCUACAAACAACUCAAAGUCGUCGAUGAGCAUCUUAUGCAGGCUGUAGAGCAACUCCCACGAGGAACUCAUAAUGGUGAUUAUAUCCUUUUAUUCUCGGGUGUUUGUUGUGGCUCUACAUCUGUGCUUAUCCUAGUUGAGCAAAUUGACAUCGCAAAAGCAGACUCGCGUUGCCAUAGAGGAGACCCAACGGUUGGGAAUAUAGUUGCAGGGGAUUUGUGUUCAUUUUUGUAGCUAAUUUGUCCAUAACACCUGUGUAUAGUUGGUAGCUAGUGAAAGUACAAUUGGAAAUACUUGUAUUCAUCUUGGAAUGUCUUGAAAUGUCAUUGAAUGGAUUGAUGCACA